AUGAGAAAGCAGAAACGGUAAAAGACAUUCCCAGAGCAGUGCAGCAGCAUCAACAGUGACACUGCCAUCAUCUUUGCUAUCACUGUCAUUAUCUGCAGUAAUAACAUUUGAAGGAAAAACAGACACAAAAUACCUUCCUCCGUCCACUGCUACCUUCUAGAGUUACACAGUCCAGAAGCCUGUAAAUUGACAUUGUAAUUAAAACCAAUACAAUGCAAUGACCACACACACACUAAUGCAAACCCACAUAUACACGAAAAAGACAAACUAGAAACUACCCUCGGCUACUAGCCACCUAGGUUGAGAGAGAGAGAGGAGAGAGAGAGAAGAAAAGGGGAGAGAGAGAAGAGAGGGAAGAGAGAGAGAUUAAGAAAGUUGGUGUCCAUAUCUUGAUGUGAAUUACAUCUUACAGCAUAGAAAAAUUGCAAAUGACAAAAAGAAGGAAGAGAAAAUACAGAAAAACAACUAAAAGUGUCCUCUUGAAUCUGAAUCCACUGUGUGUCCCUUGAAGCUUCAAGCAGGUUUGCUUAUGCUUCCAAACCCUUACAUCCAACACCCCGCAAGAAUACUACCAUCACAAACACUACCACCACUGCUGCUGCUAACACAAAUAUCCAUUCACUAAACAAUUCAUUUAACAGAUAAAUAUAUUCUAGAGUUGAUGGAUAAUGUUCAAGGCAGAUGAGCAGAAAUAAUGAAACAGCCGAUAAGAGGAAGAGUGCAGGACGUGAAAACAAAGCAAAAAAGAAAACAACAGCAGCCGCACUGAUGACAAUGGCAAAAGCAACAAAACACUGCUGGGCUGGAUGAUUGAAAGGCUACUUUCAAGGACUUAAAAUGUAUGAAUUUUGAAAAUAAACUGUGAUGAAGUGAUAAGUUUAAAAAAAAUAAAGAAACCUGAGUGUGGAUAUGUGUGUGUGUGUGGGGUGGUGGUGGUGGUGAGGAGAUAAGGAAACAAAGAGAGAGACAGGCAGAAAAACAGAGAGAAAGUGAAAUAGGGAGAAAAGUCAAGAAAAUAGAAAUGAUAACAGCAGAGAUGAGACCAUACAUAAAGUCAGAUGACUAUAGCCAUGCUGGAGCAUCUCCUUUUAGUCAAAGAAAUCAACCCCAGGACUUAUUCUUUGUAAGCCAGUAUAGCAUCAGAGAAGCUGGCCAGAAGCAAAACAUUGGUACUAGAUUAGAUGAAAAUGGAGCUGAAGCAGAGAGAGGCUGAGAUUGCUGCCCAUUAGAGCCAGAAUUAUUAGCACAAAUUCCCAACCUACUGAAAGAAAUAUUACUGCAAAAUUAAAUUAAAGGCAACCAAGUAGUAACUCUUGCAUAUUAGAGUGCCAAUAUGGCUAAAAGUGGCUCUGGGCAACAGUAGACAUGUAUAGCAACUUUUGAACAACUCAUUAGGUAAGAAAAUCCAAGUUGGAAAUACAGAAACUAUGUAAGUUAUUUGGUAAAAUAAUAAAUAAAAAAAAUUAAAUUAUUAAAUACAAAGAAAGUAUAAAUUUUAGA